GCGAUACAGGGUGACAGCCCCGUACACAAAAAUGCACAUAUUGUGAGCUCGAUGAGUAGGGCGGGACACGUGGUAUCCUGUCUGAAUAUGGGGGGACCAUCCUCCAAGGCUAAAUACUCCUGACUGACCGAUAGUGAACCAGUACCGUGAGGGAAAGGCGAAAAGAACCCCGGCGAGGGGAGUGAAAAAGAACCUGAAACCGUGUACGUACAAGCAGUGGGAGCCUCUUAAUGGGGUGACUGCGUACCUUUUGUAUAAUGGGUCAGCGACUUAUAUUCUGUAGCAAGGUUAACCGAAUAGGGGAGCCGAAGGGAAACCGAGUCUUAACUGGGCGUUAAGUUGCAGGGUAUAGACCCGAAACCCGGUGAUCUAGCCAUGGGCAGGUUGAAGGUUGGGUAACACUAACUGGAGGACCGAACCGACUAAUGUUGAAAAAUUAGCGGAUGACUUGUGGCUGGGGGUGAAAGGCCAAUCAAACCGGGAGAUAGCUGGUUCUCCCCGAAAGCUAUUUAGGUAGCGCCUCGUGAAUUCAUCUCCGGGGGUAGAGCACUGUUUCGGCAAGGGGGUCAUCCCGACUUACCAACCCGAUGCAAACUGCGAAUACCGGAGAAUGUUAUCACGGGAGACACACGGCGGGUGCUAACGUCCGUCGUGAAGAGGGAAACAACCCAGACCGCCAGCUAAGGUCCCAAAGUCAUGGUUAAGUGGGAAACGAUGUGGGAAGGCCCAGACAGCCAGGAUGUUGGCUUAGAAGCAGCCAUCAUUUAAAGAAAGCGUAAUAGCUCACUGGUCGAGUCGGCCUGCGCGGAAGAUGUAACGGGGCUAAACCAUGCACCGAAGCUGCGGCAGCGACACUAUGUGUUGUUGGGUAGGGGAGCGUUCUGUAAGCCUGUGAAGGUGGCCUGUGAGGGUUGCUGGAGGUAUCAGAAGUGCGAAUGCUGACAUAAGUAACGAUAAAGCGGGUGAAAAGCCCGCUCGCCGGAAGACCAAGGGUUCCUGUCCAACGUUAAUCGGGGCAGGGUGAGUCGACCCCUAAGGCGAGGCCGAAAGGCGUAGUCGAUGGGAAACAGGUUAAUAUUCCUGUACUUGGUGUUACUGCGAAGGGGGGACGGAGAAGGCUAUGUUGGCCGGGCGACGGUUGUCCCGGUUUAAGCGUGUAGGCUGGUUUUCCAGGCAAAUCCGGAAAACCAAGGCUGAGGCGUGAUGA
rnacentral:rRNA from 1 species